UUUGGUAGCGUAUUUGCUUUGGGAGCAAAAAGUCGUAUGUUCAAGUCAUACUAUU
rnacentral:tRNA from 1 species